GUUGGUCUGGAGUGAUUCCAGUCAGCGAGGAGGAGGAGGACACGCAGCAGGAACUCAUUUCCUCACGCCGAGGCAGAAAUGCAGAGGCGCUGUUAAAGCUGUGAUACACGGGGCGGGAGGUCGAAAGGUCAGCUGAAACCCAGCAGCUUCCCCUUCUCUCAGCUUUAAAGCUGCUAAAAAGACGACACACCUGAGGGGUUCGGUCCGAGUCGCUGAAGUUCUUCAGCGAGAGGAAACAACCCGAGAGGCUGCAGUUGGCGAAAGCGAAACAUCUGCAGCAGUAAUGAGUCACAGCCGUCGCAGAGAGCCAGAACGCUCUUCACCUCAGCAGCAGAGCACCAACAUCAUUCAAUCACAAUCUGCUCUUUAAAGAUCGCUGUAACGUGUUGUGGCUUCGACUACCAGGACGAACCGGGAAACCCCGACAAACAGCAGCUAAACACUGAGUGUGUUUGUGGGCAUCUCGUGAGCAGGAGUGGAUUUGCAUCGAUGAGAAAUCAGCGUGGACGGAAACACUGAGCAGACCCAGCAUCCCGUGAGUUUGGUUCCUUUGUGGAUAUUUCUUGUUUUGCUUUUUCCUGGAUUUAAUUUUUAUAUUACUCAGUUGAAAUUUCCAACUUCCGACCUCCAACUAUUCCAGAGGCCUGUACGACGAAGCGAGCUCAACAUACCCAGGGAAUCUUCUAGUUAUCUGGCUUAACAAACCCUAACAACCGCAAUCGAGUAGUUAAACACUGAAUCCAUGACGGCCAAGUACAGACAGGUUUGCUUCAAACCACUGAGCUCAAUCAUCCCCUCCACCUGAAUGCCAACUGCAGGCAGGUGUGUUUCCCAACAUUAUAUCAGGCCCUCUCUCUGCUGCUCCAUCCAACCAUCAUGCCACUCGUCCCUCAGAAUGGAAGCUUCUUAUUUUCAUCUAAGUUAAUUUGCAGUCCCUUUUUUUUCUAGCCAUUUAUUUAUUAAAACUCAGAGCAGCUUGUGAUUGUUUUAUUUUGUUGAUUAGUAUUUAAUUUAUAUUACUAAUUUGAUUUAUGUACUUUUUGCACUGCAGAAACCAGACUUAGGAAGGUAAAAAAACACUGAAACUGCUUUCAUAGUAAGAUCUCUUUAUUUUGAAAAUAAAAUUCAUGAAAAAAAUCAUAGUAUAGUAUGUUAAAAAAAGUUAAAAAAAGAAAAGUCU